GCGUUUCAGUUUCGCUGUGGCCGGUGAUUAUAACAGCUGUUACGUUAGCUGUACACGGUGAUGAGAUUUUCUUUCUUCCUUAAUUCUUCAGCUUCUUCUUCUUCUUCGAGGUUACUUUUGGAACAAGAGGAGCGAAGGAGAAGAUUUUGGUUUCUUUUGCUGAAGACGGAUCAAUCAGAGUUUGGAGCAGCAAAAAUUGCUCCUUCUGCUAUUGUUCUUUGUAUUUUAGCUUAAUUUGUGUGAAUUAGAGGCGAUAUCUUGUCGGUCGGCUUCUUCCGUUUGGGGAUUUGGGAGGAGAGAUCUGAGAAUGCGGUCGAAGAGAGCUGAGACUGGGUCGGUGGCGGCGUUUAUCCCCGUAAAGGAGUUUCCUCCGGAGAAGAAGGACGCGGAUUGGGAGGUCAGGCCGUGUGGGAUGCUGGUCCAGAAGCGCGACCCCGAUGGCGACGCCGGCAGUGCGGCUCCGGUGCCAACCUUCCGCCUGAAGGUCAAGUACGGAGACUCGUAUCACGAGAUCUGCAUCAGUUCUCAGGCGACCUUCGGCGAACUGAAGAAAGUUCUCUCCUCCAGGACUGGUCUUCACCCGCUCGACAUGAAACUGAUGUAUAAGGACAAGGAGCGGGACUCGUCGGCGUUUCUGGACACCGCCGGUGUGAAGGACAAGUCGAAGCUGGUACUUCUGGAAGAUCCCACGGCGCAGGCCAAGCGCUUGCUCGAGAUGCGCAAGACGAACAAGAUGGAGAAAGCCGCCAAGUCCAUCUCCGCUAUCAGCCUCGAGGUCGACCGCCUCGCCUCCAAGGUAAUAAUCUCCCACCACCGUCCGCCGCAGCCACCAUCUACCAAUUUUCUUACAAUUCGAUCUUUUUCUCCAAUAAUUGACCAGGUGUCGGCGUUGGAUGCGAUUGUGAGCAAAGGUGGGAGGGUGGUGGAGAACGACGUGACCAAUCUCAUCGAAUUGCUGAUGAAUGAGCUGAUCAAAUUGGAUUCUAUUGUUGCUGAAUAUGAUGUGAAGUUGCAGAGGAGAUUGCAGAUCAAGAGAGUCCAAAAGUAUAUUGAAACACUGGAUAUGAUCAAGAUCAAGAAUCGAAAGCAGCAACAACAGAACCAUCAGCCACAACACCAACCACAAAUGCAUCCAAAUGGGAACUUGCAGCAACAACAUCCAAUUCAAACUCAGACUCAGUAUCAGCAGCAACCCCAGCAAAAGAAGGCGGUAGUAACAACCAACUGGGAGAAAUUUGAUUCUAUAUUCUUGCCAUCCACCUCUGCUGCUGCCGCUGCCGCUGCCGCCACCACAGUCACCUCCGUUGCCGUGCCUACUCAUCAUCCAAGAUUCGACUGGGAGCUAUUCUGAGCAUCUGAUUCAUUGCCACAGGAGGAAAAACACAAUUCCUGGCUUGGAAGCGACAUUGUGUGUGAUUAUGCUUUCGUAGCUGUUUUCAUUUCUGCUUAGAGUAUGAUUGUAGCCGAAGGAGCACAAGAGGUGGACGAUGGUGCUUGAAUAAAGUGGUAAUCGUCGUGGUGGAAACACUUUGGCCGAAGUGUCAAGUGGGUAAGUGAUUCCCUUGGCCAAGAUAGAGAAUGUUUCAAAUCUUAAAUUUCAAAAAGUUAGUCGACCACUGUUUCAAAUCUUAAAUUUCAUUAGUUCA